AAAUAAGAAGCUAAAUAGCAAUUGGUUUCGACCUAAUUUUAUGGUAUUAAAUUACCCUUAUUUU
rnacentral:tRNA from 1 species